GAUAGUCUUAAGAAGAUCCAUUGUGUUGUACUCUUGAGAAACACAUAUCCAAGCACGUGUAGGGAAGCUUGAGACUAUAUUAGGACUUUUGUAGAGGUUUCUAGCAAGAGUGGUCUUGCCUAAUCCGCCCAUGCCAUGAAUGGAGAGGACACUUCGGCGAGGCUCUUCUUUGAGAAGUUGAGCUAGCAAUGUUUGUACAACAUCCUGAAGUCCAACAAAAAUGUAAUCCUGGUCAUCCACAUAUGAAGUAGUUCUUCUCAAUGUUCUUACCAUGGCAGAUUGAUUACUUGGUCCUUCUCCGGCAUUAAUGAUAUUUGUAAUACCAUAAGUCUCUCGUUUGCGAGAGAUAUCCAUGAUUUGUUGCUUGAGUGAUUGAAUCUCCUCUGCGACAUUGUAGAAUUUCUUCUCCUUCCAACAGAUGCAAGCACAAACCUUAAGACGACUAGCACCUUUACCAGCCUCGAAGCUGUAAGUCUCGAGUAUAGCAACAGCGUCAUUAGCAAUAGAGUUGAUCUCAAACACCCAUUGUUGAAUUCUUUGAUCUCCACUUUGUUUUUGUUCUGCAUCUAUUAGGAAUGACUGCAUGAAGAGUAGCUCAUUUUUCAUCCAUCUAAUUUCAUCUCUGAGACUUCUACGCAGGGAAACUUUCUGUAUUAGGAAAUCACCCAAUUUUUGAACUGCAAAUGACACAAAGGCAUCAGCCAUAUUUUUUAUUGAAAAAAAAGGUAAAGUGUGUAUGGAAGCAGUAGAUUGAGAGUUUGAUAAGUGAUUGAGAGAUGAAUAAUAUUGUUAUGAUGGAAUUGAGUAUUUAAAGCUUAAAAAAACAGACAGGGGAAAAAGUGUUAAAGUAGAAAGAUGAUAGAGUUAAGGUUAAUGGUAAAGAAAAGUAUAUAUUCUCUACUAACUGCAAGCCAAGAAUUUUAAAUUGCAUCACACAAGUUAUGCUCAGUGUACUGGCCAAGCCAAAAGUUUCGAUAACAACGUUCAAGAUUUAUUAUAUAUGUAUGAAAAAUAAUUUUUGACUUAUAUAUUUUUUACAAUUUUCUAUAUACAUUGUAUAAUUUUUCGACGAAGAAUGUCUGACAGAACACCCUGAGCUAUAUGUGGCUACGCCACUGCUUCAUUUGCACAAGUUGUGUGUUAAUAUAUACAAGAAAUUAUGUCCCAAGGCACAAGUCCCCAGGGUAAACAACAACAACAGGGUCUGGAGAGGACAAAAUGUAUGCAGACCGUACCACUACCACGUGGAGGUAAAGGUUGUUUCAGAAAGGCCUUCGGCAAUAAGUCCCCUAAGGCAAAUAUCACGAUAUUUCUGUACUUUAUACUUUAUUUAAAAAGACAUACUAUCAUAUUAGAUUAGAUUUUAUUAUUCAGAAGAGUUGGUUUAAUUGUUCCUCCACCUAAAUCACUUUUAGCUAAUUAAUUAUAUUCCAUUUGCCUUAUUUUAUCGAAACAUGUUUGGCUAGGUACGCCAUUUUAAUCGGGACUAGAAGAUUUUAAAAUUUUCAUGGUAUCAAUGUGGUCAUAAAAUCAUAUUAUUAAUAGUAAAUUUAGUAUGUUCAAAAUUCAUCUUUAAAUAAUAGAUACCUUUCUUUUCUUUUUAACUAUCCUUGUUAGGGGAAUCUAUAGGAAAAAAUAUGAUAAACAUGACUUCUCAAUUUGAAGAUUCGUUUUGUAACUUUGAAGAGAAGAAAUAAAAUAUUUGAUAAGUCAGCACAAAUUAAUUCGAAUUCAGCCUUGGAGGUUAUUCCAUAAAGAUUUUGUAAGAGCUUGAAGGUCAAAAUCUCAAAAUUGAUUUCCUGAAAACGAAUUUUGUUUUGAAUUGGUGAUUUCUCAAAAGAAUUGAAACUUCGACAAGACUAAUAAUAUAAAAUUUGAGAUUAUUUGGGUAAAAUUAGAAUUAGUUUUGGACUAAAGUUUUACUUAUAGUUCGUAGAAAUUUAAAAUUACAUUCGAAUUAUAUAAAAAAUCAUAUGAUAAUCAUAUAAUGACGGAUGAGUUAUAUGUAAAUUGUUUUUUAAGUUUGGUAUUUUAUUGUAGUUGUAUUUUUUUUGGGUCUCCCACUCAGUUUCUGAUACCCGCUAGAGCUUGACUAUCUCAAAUUCGCGCCGCGUAGGGCCAAUUGAGGGGAAGCGCUCUCUAACAAGCAAAUUCCAUAGUACUCUUUAAUAUAAAAAUAUUUUUUUCUUUUACUAAUUAAUUCAAAGAAGUAGAAUACUCUAUGGUUAAUUCUUGCAUAAAAAUUGGGAAAAGGCACAAGUACCCCCCUAGACUAUGACCAAAAUCCCAGAAACACACUUUAACUAAACCAAGGUUCUAUUACCCUCUGAACUUAGUUUUUUGUAAUUUUGUACACCUUUUGUCUUACGUGGCACACUCCGUGACUCCACACAAUUGAGGUGCGUGGGAGAUAUUUGGAUGCCACGUAAGCCAAAAAGGUGCACUAAAUUACAAAAAAAAAUGAGUUCAGGGAUUAAUAGGACUUUAGUUUAGUUAAGAUGUGUCUCUGAAAUUUCGGUCAUAGUCUAGGGGGUACUUGUACCUUUUCCCAAUUUUUAUGCAAGAAUUAACCAUACUCACACCAACUGUGGAUGUACGUUUUAGGUACAGGUAAAUCUAUUUAAUAUGUACACAUUAUAAAUAUAGAACUCAGUAAGUCCAAAAGGCAUUAGUUUAGAAUCUAUAAACAUCAAAUCCUGGAUCCGCUUUUGUUAAUACGUACCACUUUCAACUCCACAUCAAAAGAUGGCAAAAUUAAUACUGCAGAAACUUAAUAUAGCAAUCAAUCAACUACAACUCGACUACAAACUAACUGGGGAUCGGUAGUGUGGGUCCUCUAUACCCACAUAUAUAAAGGAUUCAGCAUAAUUAGCUAACAUCUGACCUACUGCAGCCCUCCCCCUUUAUCCGGACUUUGGACGGACCAUGCCUUCCAUACCUUAGUGCAGUUAUAUUCAGCAUAAAUAAGCAAAUAAAAACUACUAUCCCAACACUCUAUUUCUCAUCAAAUAUGACACAAUCAGGUGAUUCAACCCAAUAAAAAAGUUGAAUCAAUAAUCUUUUUCUUCCGUAAUCAGUUAACCCAACAGAGAACAACGAAUUCAUCAGACGUAGCGUUUCAAACGGACAAACAAGCUAGUCAAAGUUGUCCUUCCAAAUAAUCUAAUCUGCUCCAUUCUAGCCAAUAAAGUUUCCUCUUUUAUCAAGUCAUCAAUUUCAUAGCUUCUAUUUAAUUCAAAACUAGUUCGAGUCUAUUACAUGAAUCCUCUACAACAUACACCUGUCAAUUUCGGAAAUUUUUUUAUUUAUAUACGCGUAUAUUUAUUUUGAGAAACUGACAUAAAGUAGAAUAUAAUUAAUCGUUGACCAUGAGGAGCUGGUACAAGUUAGAGAAAUCACUCACGAGAUCAGGGUUUGAAUCCAGCUAGUGCCUUAUUUCGUUGUUUUUAUUUUAAGGUUAAUUUAGAGCUUAUAUUUGAUCAUUAGUAACCAAUCGAAUACUAAAUUAUCUGUUAAUUAUUAUUGAAAAUUUUGCUAAAGGCCUAAAUUAAGAUAAUAUUGAUGCACCUCGAUAAUAUUGGAGUAUCCUAAGUCUUCAAGUUGUGUGUUCAGAGAAGAAAUUAUGUCCCCCAGGGCAAACAACAACAAGAAGUAGGGUCUGGAGAGAGCAAAAUGUAUGCAAACCGUACCACUACCUCGUGAAGGUAAAGGUUGUUUCAGAAAGGCCCUCGGUAAUAUGUCCCCUGGGGCAAAUAUCACGAUAUUUCUGUACUUUAUUUAAUAAGACAUACUAUCAUAUUAGAUUAAAUUUUUAAUCAGGACUAGAAGAUUUUUAAAAUACAUGGUUUUUAAAUUUUCAUGGUAUCAAUGAGGUUAUAAAAUCAUAUUAUAAAUAGUAAAAUGAGAAAUUUUAAAUUUAGUAUGUUCAAAUUUCAUCCUUAAAUACUAGAUACCUUUCUUUUCUUUUUAAGAAUCCUUGUUAGGGGAAUCUAUAGGAAAAAAUAUGAUGAACAUGACUUCUCAAUUUGAAGAUGCGUUUUGUAACUUUGAAGAGAAGAAAUAAAAUAUUCGAUAAUUCAGCACAAAUUAAUUCGAAUUCAGCCUUGGAGGUUAUUCCAUAAAGGUUUUGUAAAAGCUUGAAGGUCAAGAUCUCAAAAUUGAUUUCCUGAAAACGAAUUUUGUUUUGAAUUGAUAAUUUCUCAAAAGAACUGAAACGUUGACGAGACUAAUAACAUAAAAUUUGACAUUAUUUGGGUAAAAUUUGAAUUUGUUUUGGACUGAAUUUUUAAUUAUAGUUGGUUGAAAUUUGUUUUGGUAAUAUUAUCCAUGCUUAAUUCUGGAAGAUUGACUAAAUCAACAGGGUCAACCUCUUUCGACUGAUCACAACAGAUGCCACCAACAACUUGAAGAUAAGUGAGCUUGAAUCUACGUACCAAAGGUUCUGGAUACCGAGCAACUAAAUGUCUUAGAUUUAUUAGCUCAGCUGUUUCACUGGGUGGUAAUUGGUAAAAUCCCAAUCAUGGCCAAAUCGAAUGAUUACAAGCCGUUCUUCUUCAGCAAGAAUACGACAUUUUUAUCUAUUGCUGAUUUGAUUUUUUAUGCUGAAAUAAAAAACAGUGAAGAAGCUGACAGAGGGUGAGAAACAGAGUGCUGAGAAGAACGGCUUAGGGGUACUCCUGCAAGGGUCUCGAAUGUGCUAGUACCCCCUCUUAGGGCUCGUUUUGUCUAAACACGUUAUCUCGAAAUUAAUUAUACGGAUUGUAACUUAAUGUGAGAUAUAAAUAAUAUCACAAUCUCGAAAUAACUAAAUAUCCUACCAAACGAGUCCUUAAGGAUGGUCUGCAAGGAGGAAUAAAGGAAAACUAAUUUCGAUUAUUUGAUUAGAUAUUUAGAUGUAUGUGUUAGGUAGUCUAAAGAUUAUUUAUACCAAUAGAUGUACUAUAUGCAAAAAGUAGACCCACAUGGUGCACGUGCACCCGUUAAUUUCAAUUAUAUCUAUAUAUAUAUAUAUAUUGAGAAACUAACAGAAAGUAGAAUAUAAUUAACACUGAUCCCAUACGAUGCAUAAAAGUGUCCUUGAGUCGCUGGUACGAGCUAGAGAAAUUACUGGCGAGACUAGAGUUUGAAUUCAGGUAGUGCCCUAUUUCACUGUUUUUAUUUUAAGUUCAACUUAAAGCUUAUAUUUGAGUCAUUAGUAAAAAAAAGGGAGGUGGAGUUGUGGUAAUAAUGAUGAGAUAAUUUAUUUUAUAUAUAUGAUAGGGUGACACGAAAUAACUAAUUCCAUAAGAUUAUUCCUAUAUUUAUAGAAUAACGUUGUCUAUCACAUGCAUCCUCAUAUCAACAAACGUUCAAGGGCCAUUGUAGAAGGUGUAUGAUUGUACAUGGAGUAUGCUUUUAUUUCUUUAUGUCCUUUAAUAACGACGUUAUAUCCUUUUUCCUUAAUUAUAUGUAUUGGACUUGGUAGCUAAUAUAAAAAAUUGUGCUUUGUGUUAUUGUGUAAGUUGAAGGCAAAGUGUAAUUUCUUUAUAAUAUAUAAUUGAGGAGAUGGAUCUUCAAAUAUAAACUGAAAACACUUUUCAACUUAAUUAACAUUACAAAAUUAAAUUAAGGACAUCAAACUCAACAACACAAUUAUUUCAACACUAAACCAAUGGCCACAAAAGAAGAACAAUGAAUGGAAAGAAAUGAAAAAAACCAUCGAACAAGGACUAAAUCUCAAUAAAUCGUCACAACAAAAGAUAUGCAGGCUCUAGUCUAUUAGCUGAACGAGUAUUGUUUGUAUCUCAUCGAACAAUAUAUCAACAAAUUCGACUUGACCUUCAAUACUACCAUCACAAGUAGUCAUCAAAUAUACUCUUGCAAGCCUAACACAAGCUGUAUCACAAUCUGAAUAUUCUACAUUUGAACUACAAGUAGCAUUGACCAUAAGCUAAAGCAUCAUUAGGAUAAGGAGAUGUUAUGUAAUAAUCGAUCAUAACCUUGUUUUGGUGUCUCAUUACUUAAUUCUAUAAGAACAUAUAUAAGACAAACUAUCUGAAAAUGGACCAUUUUUGUCAUACAUUUCACCAUUGCAUGUAUGGUCCAAUAAUUUAGACUCUGGAAAUUCACUUAUCACAAAACAAUUAAAGUAACCCAUGACUAAAAUUAUAAUUAGGAAUGUGGUUAACACUCUAAUUCUCAAAAUUGAACUCAUAGCUAUAUGUAUAUAUUUUCUAUUACAUUUGUGUUACAAAUAAUUGAGUUUAGUACUUUAAUGUCCUUUUUUGUUUAAAUAGAUUUAUCCAUCCUUUGAUUUCUCCACCAAUGAAAAUUAAGUAUUCCAUAAUUUAUAUUUUAUAAAUUAUAUAUGUUGCCGGCAAAUAAACCACUACUAUUACUUUGCUUUGAUAUUAUAAAUCCUAAUGCUUGGUAUAAUUUUUGCAAAGAGAGAUUAUUCAUCAUACAAAGAUAGAUCCAUUAAAAGCAAUUGAUGAUUAAUAGUACUGAUCAUGCAAUGUUGUUAUUAUUAUUGGAUAAUUUGGAUUUCUAAUCAUUUAGAAUUAUUGGGUUUUAAAAUUAACAAUUUAUAUGUAUUAUAUAUAGGAUUUAGAUCAAAGCUACUGAAUUCAGCUGAAUCCAUAACUGAAAAACUAGCUCCACCCUUGCUAGUUGGAUCAGGUACUCUAUAGUGAUUAUUGUGCAUUCGAUUUUACAAUUUGAUUGUUUUUGUUAUUUAGUUUCGAUCAUUCGAUUUUCAAACAUGAUGGCUCAACGUGAUUAUUGUUCCCUUCGUCCUAAUUUUUAUGAAAGUAUAAAUUAUAGUUUGACUCUAAAAAAGGAAAUCAUGACAAUUAAAAGUGAACGGAGGGAGGAGUAUAUAUUAUCUUCCUUUUUUUAUUCUUUAUUUUAAAGUUAGUUAUAAAAACUCGUUCAUGGGUUAUGUUUGGAUGGUUAAAUUUCGAAUCCAAAGUUAAAAAAACAUCACUUUUUCUUUCAAAAUACAUAAAGGGCCAUUCAAUUUUUAGUUUAAUCAAAAGGGACACUUCGCUAGAGAAGAAGCGAGAUAUGUUUAUGCUAUAACUAUCAUUAACGGCAUAAAAAAAUUGAUCACCUCGCUGACUUAUGAGCACUUUUCUCUUUUAUUUUAUCUUUUUUCUCGCUACUUAUGAGUGAUUUGCUCUCUAUUUUUCCCCUCAAAAAUCAUUAUUAGAAAAAGAAAGUGUUUUUAAAAAAAAGAAAUAAUAUAUUUAAUUGAAAAAAAGACAUUUUUGACCUAUUAAGUACAACAAUAAGAGCAUUUUUAGACCAAACUAGUGAAGACAAUCAUAUUUUUUUAACCCCUUUUCUGUUAAUUAAAUCAUCACAAAAUCCCCCCCAAAAAAAAAAAGUUCUCUUUCAACACAUUUUUCCACACACUAACAAAAACAGAAAGAAAUCAAACAUUCAAAAACUAAAAAACAUUCAAAUAGGUUUCCAUUAUCAAAUAAAACCUCGCAUAUGGUUCUAAAGAUCCACUGCAUUUAAUUUCUCUUCAACAUAUUUCAUUCUCUCUGGAAUCUCCUUCAGUUUUGAGCAGCGACUGAUAGCAAGACUUUUAAUGAGAGGCAUGGCACUUGUGGCUAAAUGCCAUCUUUCUAGGUUUGAAAGAUGAUAAAGAUGAAGGAACUCGAGUUGACGGAAGCUGCUAUCAAUGCACAUUUUUUUUUUUCCAUUAUAAGCAUCUUCUAACAUGAGAUCUCUUAGAUUUGGCAACAUUCCCAAAGUAGGCAUCGGAUCUUCCAUUGAUUUUGACUUCCUAAGAACCAUCAUUGUGAUGGAAUUUGGAAACAGAGGCAGUUUCUCUAUUCUCCCUUUUAACAACAAUUUCUGGAGCUUUUGACAAGAACUAAGAAAUUCAAGGGAUGAGAAUGAUUCAUCCAAUUUACAAAACAAUGUGAGACUACUAAGGUUUUUCAAGCUGCUAAUGUUGUUCAGGGAGUAAGAUUUGGUAAUUUGAUCCAUGCUUAAUUCUCGAAGAUUGACUAAAUCAACAGGGUCAACAUCUUUCCACUGAUCACAACGAACGUCUUUAAGAACUUCCAGACUAGUGAGUUUGCUUAUACGUUUCAGAGGUUUUGAAUAUGAAGCAACUAAAUGUCUUAGAUUUAUCAGGUCAACUGUCUCGUGGGGUAGUUCGCAAGAGAAUUCCCCUUGAUCGACAACAAGUGUCUGUAGAUUCUUGAGGUUGCCAAUGGAAGAGGGAACAUUCCAGGUACGUCUCAAUCUUAAGAACUUGAGGUGGUACAAACUUCCUAUGGCAUAAGGUACUGAUACAGAAGAACGACUGUAAACAGACAUAUCCAAGUACAACACAUAUAGAUGCUGGAACAUAAUUGAGCUCAACAUAUGAAUAUUUAGAUCGAAGACCAUAAUUGACCUCAAGUUUAAGUUAGAAAGAUCAAGUGAGGAGUACCUUUCUCCUUGACUAUGAAUGACAUGUCUGAUACAUAAAGAGGAUAUGGAGUGGCUUUUUGGAUCAUAAAUGUCAAAGAAGUUUACCUCCAAUGCCUUUUGUAUUGCAAGAUCAUGGAGUAAAUCAUGAACCCUACACUCAGUAACUUUUUCCCAAAAUGUUCGUGCCACUUGAACCAAGCUUCGUCUUAUCAGCUCAUUCAAGAAGCCUUCAGCGACAUCCUCCAUUCUUUCUUCUCCUCUGGGUAUGAAACCCUCUGCCAUCCACAACCAUAUUAUGUUAUCAGCCUUGACCGCUUGAUCUUCUGGAAAAAUACCAAAGUAGAGAAAACACUGCUUGAGCGCAGUUGACAAAUCAUUGUAGCUUAAGGAUAGUAUAUUAGAGAUUUCAAUAGAUUUAUCUUCUUUAAUGUUCUUCCAAAGGUGAUCUUUCACCUUUUGCCAUUCGUUUUGCCCCUUUUUAUGCGAAAGUAGUCCGCUCAAUACAACAAUUGCAAGAGGUAAGCCUCUACACUUUUCCACCAUAUCCUUAGCUAGACUUUCCAUUGCUGGAACCAUUGCUCGAACAUCAAGUAGUUUCCUUACAAAAGAGAUCCCAACUUUCUUCUUGGCUUAGGAAACGAAGUUUAUGAACAAAACCUCUUUUGUCUGCUCUUUCAGCGACAUCCUCUUUGCGCGUGGUAAUAAUGACUCUGCUGCCAUUCUUGCUAUCCGGGAAUGCUCUUUUCAAACUCUCCCAUGCUUCUUUCUGCCAGACAUCAUCAACCACCACAAGGUAUUUACGUUCUUUCAAUAGAUCACGAAGGUGAACUUCUAGAUCUCCUUCUGUCAUAGUUUCCAACAAUCCUAGAGUUCCCUUGGUGCGACCUUGGAUGGAUUUUAUGAUAGUCUUAAGAAGAUCCAUUGUGUUGUACUCUUGAGAAACACAUAUCCAAGCGCGUGUAGGGAAGCUUGAGACUAUAUUGGGACUGUUGUAGAGGUUUCUCGCAAGAGUAGUCUUGCCCAAUCCGCCCAUGCCAUGAAUGGAGAGGACGUUUCGACGAGGCUCUGCUUUGAGAAGUUGAGCUAGCAAUGUUUGUACAACAUCCUGAAAGCCAACAAAAAUGUGAUCCUCAUCGACAUAUGAGGUUGUUCUCCUCAAUGUUCUAACUUGAUUGCUUGGCCCUUCUCCAGCAUUAUUAUUGAUAUUUGUAAUACCAUAUGUCUCUCGCCUGCGAGAAAUAUCUAUGAUUCGCUGCUUGAGUGAUUGAAUCUCCUCUGCGACAUUGUAGAAUUUCUUCUCCUUCCUACAUAUGCAAGCGCAAGCCUUGAGACGACUAGCACCUUUACCAGCCUCGAAACUGUAUGUCUCGAGUAUAGCGACAGCAUCAUUCGCAACAGAAUUGAUUUCAAACACCCAUUGUUGAACUCUAUGAUCUCCACUUUGCUUUAGUUCUGCAUCUCUGAGGAAAGACUGUAUGAAGAGUAGCUCAGUUUUCAGCCAUCUAAUUUCAUCUCUGAGAUUUGUUCUCAGUGAAACUUGUUGUAUUAGGAAAUCACCCAAUAUUUGAACUGCAAAUGACACAAAGGCAUCAGCCAUCUUUAGGAAUAUGGAAAUUAAUAUUUUUUGUAAAAGGUAAACUGUGUAUGGAAUUAAUAUUGAGAGUUUGAUAACUGAUGAAUAAUGUUAUAAUGGAAUUCAGUAUUUAAAGCUUUAAAAAUCCGACAGAGGAAAAAGUCUAAAAGUAGAAAGAUGAUAGAUUUGAGGUUAAUGGUAAAGAAAAGUAUAUAUUUUCUACUAACUGCAAGCUAAGAAUUUAAAAUUGCAUGACACAAGUUAUGCUCUAAGCCAUAACUUCAAUGUAGUAGCGAAGCCAAAAGUUUCGCUAAUGAUGUUCAGAAUUUAAUAUAUAUGUAUGAAAAAUAAUUUUUGACUUAUAUAUUUUAUACAAUUUUCUAUAUAUAGAUAAUAUAAUUUUUCAACGAAGGGUGUCCGACUGGACACUCUGAGCUAUAUGUGUCACAAGUUGUGUUUUAAGACAAGAAAUUAUGUCCCAAGGCACAAGUCCCCUAGGGCAAACAACAACCACAACAACAUACACAAUGAAAUUUUACAAGUGGGGUUUGGAGAGGGCAAAAUGUUUGCAGACUGUACCAUUACCUCGUGCAGAUAGAAGGUUUGUUUGAGAAAGACAAACAUUAUUUUAAAAGUUCUGUCCAGUGAAUUGUUUCCCGUUUAUAUACCAAGCAACUCUAAUCAGAUAAAUUCUUCUCAUAUAGUUCAAUGACUAAUAGAUCCUCACUAAUGUGUUUAGAAUGAGUUCACAAAGUUUUGAUCCAAGAAGCAACAAUAACAUGCAUAUCAAAAUCAAAAUUGUUACUUCAAUUCAAUCGAUUUAUAAGUUCAUAAUAAAGUUAUAUCUAACAUCCACUAAAUUACACAUAAAUUAAGUUAAAAUACAUUAAAGUUGAAUGUAGUGAUAAAAAUUCAUGCCAUUGAUAUUCAAGGAGUAUUUAGUAUGCAUGACUUAACAGCGAUUGUAAUCUGUCAUCAUUAUUAAGCAUCAAGACAAUAACUUGUGGCGAUAUUCUAGAAAUUAUUCUAUGAUUUAGAAAAUAAAAAAUACUACUAGAGUGGUUUUUAAAAAAGUUUUAAAUUUUUUUCUUAUAAUUUAUCCAAAUCAAAACAAUAUCCUUCUUAAUUCAUCAAUCCAAAACAAACUUAAAAAAUAAGAUACAAUAAAUACAAAAAACUAUUAGGUUUUAAAAAAAAAAAAAAAUCAAAUAAAAUUGGGGUUCUUUUGACUUGGAUAAGUUAUGGAAAAUCUAGAAGAGGUGGGGUUUUUAUUUCAUCCAAUAAAAAAAUGACACAUAAUAAAUAUUUUAAAAAAACAAAAUUAAGCGAGGUUAGUUAGUUUUAAGAGUAUAUGUGAGCCAAAAAGGUAAAUGGAAGGGUAUCUUUAGACCAAAAUAUGAGUAGAAGGAUAAUUUUAGACACAAAGAUGGAUGAAGAGUAUUUUUAAACCUUUUCUUAUAGUUCAGGGAUAUUUUUGGCCCUUUUCCGUUAAAUAAUAGAUACCUUUCUUUUCUUUUUAAGUUUCCUUGUUUGGGGAAUCUAUAGGAAGAAAUGAUGAGCAUGACUUCUCAAUUUUUCGAAGAUGCAUUUUGUAACUUUGAAGAGAUGAAAGUAAAAUAUUCGAAUUCAGCCUCGGAGGUUAUUCCAUAAAGAUUUUGUAUUAUCUUGAAGGUCAACUUUUCAAAAUUGAUUUGCUAAAAACGAAUUUUGUUUUAAAUUGUUGAUUUCUCAAAAGAACUGGAACGUCAAGAAGACUAAUAAUAUAAAAUUUGAGAUUAUUCGGGAAAAAUUUGAAUUUUUCCAUAUCGAGAGUUCAAACUCGAGAUCUGGGAGGAACAUUGUUAAGAAUUCAUCACCAACUUAAUUCUUUACUUAAGAUAAAUCAAGAAAAAUCUAGAAUAUUCCGGAGGUGUAAAGAAUUGAAGGAAGAUCUCUAGAAUGAGUAUUCUAGAAAGAAUAGUCUAGAAAUGUUCUAGAAAGAAUAGUUCUAGAAAAAGAUAGUUAGAAAUAUUCUAGAAUAGAGUAGUAUGUAUCUCUCUAGAUUCUUCCAUCACCUCCUAUAAAUAGAGGUGGUCCAUUUGAGUUGUAUGCAACUAAGCAACUAAGAAAGAAAGCAAUCAAGAAACCAAGCAAAAAAAAAGAGUAAGAAAUAAGAGAGCAAACAAGAGUGAGUGCUCAAGUAAAGAGUGUUGCUGAAGCAAGCAACAAGUGUGAUCAAGAUUGUAAGACCGAAGCUGGUCCUUACUUUGAUAUAAUAAAAUUCAAGUUGUGAGAAAUCGAUAGUGCCCGUCGUCUCCAAAACAAUAAUAUUCAACAAACAUAUCCUUUGGUGGUAUUGUAGUUUUAUUUAGUUUGAUAUGAAUGUUGUGUAUAAUGUUGUUGUAGUUGUAUUAGAUUUUCAGUAACUAGCAUGAGCUUCAUACAAAGUUUGUAUAAUAAUUAUAUACAUAUUUCAUACCAAAAUUCUCCUAUACGUUUCAUAAAUAUGAAUGUUAUUUUCUAUAAUAUAUACUCUGAGAAGCAAUAGACAUAAAAGUAAGAACAAAUAAUGUGUUGAAAGGUCCACUUAUCACUUGUGUGAUUAACGUUCAGAAAAAAACGAAACAUGACCACGUGGUUUCUGAAAAUAAAGAGAAUUACGAUUAGACAAACAAUUUUCAUUUCAUGUUGGGAUAAGACACAAGUAUCCCCUAGACUAUGACCGAAAUUCCAAAGACACAACUUAACUAAUUUAAGGUCCUAUUACCCCCUAAACGCAUUUUUUGUAUAAUUUUAUACACCUUUUGGCUUACGUGGCACACUCCGUGACUCCACCGAGUUUGCUCGAUUCCGAGUUCGUAUGAGUGAGUUGUGCCCUUUGGAAGUUGGGCUGUUAGCAUAGGAAAGUUCACCCGAAUUUGUAAGGGUAUUUUGGUCUUUUCCCUAACCAUUUCUUUUGGAUAUAUUAAGGGUCCCAACUGAUUUUAAAUCAGUAUUUCCUUUUUAAAAGUGAGUGUUAGGGUUGUGAGUGAAGAGAGAAAGAAGAGGAGAAAGAGAAGGAAGCUAAGUUCGUCGAGAUCGUCGUGGAUUUCGUCGGGGUGAUCCCUAUUAAGGUAUGUGAGAUCAUAGUGUUGGGUUGGUUCAUUCCCCCACACGCCAAACUCGUUUUACUUUUCGAGAAAAAGAUUGGUUGUGUUUGUUGAAUUCUUGUGGUUGUGUUGAAGUUUCUUGUUGAUUUGGUACAUGUUUCCGGAUGGAAUUCCGAGUUGAAUCUAUUGUAUAUUAAGGGUUUUAAUGAUCCCAAGUGUUUGGGGAAAGAACCUUUGAAGUUAAGAGGGUUUAGAGUUGGAAAAAUGAAGGAGAAGAGUCGGGCAGCUUCCAUGAAACCAGUCCGCGUCACGGACUUGUUCCCUCUGUGAACAAAAAUCUGCUCCGCGUCGCGGACAGGAUGCGGACUCCACUGUUUCAAAAAUUUAUUUUCGUAACUCUUCUUAAGUUUAGCUGUCCUAAAUCAUUCCUAAACAUCAAGAGACCUUUCCUAUCACAAUCAUGAACCUUGAAUCCAUAAUCCAAUUCAAGGAAAAGGUUAGGAUCAAAGUCAAGUGAAGUUAUGAAGCAAGUCAAAGUAAGUUUUUAAAGUUUUCUUCAAGAGACUUUACUAAACGUCUAAACUUCGUUUUAAGACUCAAGUUUCAAGCAAAGUAAAGAGUAUAUGAGUUCUUUUUCUCAAGAGUUACUAGGGAACUACGUAUUCCCCAAAGAAGUUUAUAAAUGUUUUUACAUUUGAGUAAGAAAGGAACUAUGUUUUCCAAGAGAGCCUUUGGGCUAAGCUUUGAGUAAUUAUCUCAAAAUAAAGAAAGAUUUGUUUAAAACACUUAUGAGCUAAAGUAUNNNNNNNNNNNNNNNNNNNNNNNNNNNNNNNNNNNNNNNNNNNNNNNNNNNNNNNNNNNNNNNNNNNNNNNNNNNNNNNNNNNNNNNNNNNNNNNNNNNNNNNNNNNNNNNNNNNNNNNNNNNNNNNNNNNNNNNNNNNNNNNNNNNNNNNNNNNNNNNNNNNNNNNNNNNNNNNNNNNNNNNNNNNNNNNNNNNNNNNNNNNNNNNNNNNNNNNNNNNNNNNNNNNNNNNNNNNNNNNNNNNNNNNNNNNNNNNNNNNNNNNNNNNNNNUAUAUAUUGAGUUCAGUUAUUCAUGAGUUGAACAGAGCCAAGGUAAGAGUUCCUUUGUACUCCUUUCAAGCUUAAGUUGUUGUUUAGCUUUCUAGCUCACAUACUCGUAUAUUCCAUGUACUGAUGCCAGUUGGCCUGCAUCGUUUUAUGAUGCAGACGCAGGUACCCAGGAUCAACAUCCAGCACGCCGUUGAUCCAGCUGAGCACUCCAGAGUCAGUGGUGAGCCUCCUUGCCUUCCGGAGGACUCUGUUCUUUUAUGUUCCUAGUUUUGCUUUAUUAGGAUGUUGUGGGGUCUAUCCUAACAUCCAUCUCAGUGUUUUAGAGGCUUCAUAGACAGUCAGUCAGUUAGUAUUGAGUCUCUCAACUAUUUAUAUAUAUAAAUAUUCUAUUUUGAGACACGAGUUGCCUUUUGGCCAGUUUUUAUCAGUUGGGUUGUUUUAUGACCUUUCAUUGCAUUAAGUUAUUCUAUUGAGUUAGGUUUCCGCUGAGUUAAGAAAGCCAGGCCAAGGGUUCGCUUGGGGCUAGCAAUGGUCUUCGAGUGCUAGUCCCGCCCAGGGUGUAGGCUCGGGGCGUGACAGAAUCUCAACGAAUCGUAGCAACAAAAGAUACAUAGACUUUAAUUUAUUAGCUAAAGGAAUAUUGUUCGUACCUCAUGGAACAAUCUAGGGGUGUACAAAAUCGAACCGAAAACCGAAUCCAACCUCAAAUCGAGUCAAACCGAAAAAAAACCCCAUUAGUGUUUUGGUUUGACUUGGUUUGGUAUUGAAAAAAAUAACCCAACUUUAUUUGGGUUGGUUUGGUUUUAACUAAAAAGAACCAACCCAAGACCAAACCAACCCGACAUUAUAUAUAUAAUUUUAAAAUUUUAUUUUAUACAUAAAAAUAUUUACUUUGAUAUCAUUUUUAAAUAUUUCUUAUACUCUUUUAAUAUAUUAUUUCAAGUUUGAAACUUAGAAUUCUGAAUGAUUCAAUAAAGAUUAUAGUCCACAGAUGUUGGUAAUUAUAAUAAAGGUUAAAUCAAAAUCAAAUUAAUACUAAUGCAAAAAGAAAAUCAAUUCAACACUAAGAAUGACAAUAUAUAAUAUUGAAUAUUUAUUCUUUAGUUUUACGUUGGUUUAGACAAUUAAAAUACAUAAUCUAAUUUUAAUUUCCUUUAAUAUUUAGUCAUGUAACUAAUACUUAUUUUAACAUGAUUUAGUACUUUUAAAUUAUGAUCAUUUUCACCAUGACUUGUUAAUUUGCAAUAUUUGUUUUACGCAAUUUUAUUAUUACGUAUAUUUUUUUUGUUGGAUAUUUUAGUGUCAUUAAUCAUAUCAUAUUUUGUGUUAUUUUUUAAGAAACACCUUAGAUAGUUGUAUUUUAGUAGGACUAAAUAAAUAUUUGAAGUACAAGUAAAUUUUAUGUUUGUAUGAAUACUUUACCGAAAAAACCCGAGGUUGAAAAACCCGAGUUUUAUUGGUUUGGUUUGGUUUUAUAAAUUUAAAAAUCCGAUACAAAUGGUUUGGUUUGAUAUUUGAAAAACCCGAACCAACCCGGCUAUGUACACCCCUAGAACAAUAUUCAACAAAUUCGAGUUGACCUCCAAUACUACCAUCACAAGUAGUCAUCAAAUAUCCUCUUGCAAGCCUAACACAAGUAUCACAAUCUGAAUAUUGUACAUUUGAACCACAAGUAACAUGACCAUAAGCUAAAGCAUCAUCAUUAGGAUAAGGAGAUGUUAUGUAAUAAUCAUAACCUUGUUUUGGUGUCUCAUUACUUAAUUCUAUAAGAACAUAUAUAAGACAAACUAUCUGAAAAUGGACCAUUUUUGUCAUACAUUUCACCGUUGCAUGUAUGGUACCCAAUAAUUUAGACUCUGGAAAUUCACUUCUCACAAAAUAAUUAAAGUAACCCAUGACUAAAAUUAUAAUUAGGAAUGUGGUUAACACUCUAAUUCUCAAAAUUGAACUCAUAGAUAUAUGUAUAUAUUUUCUAUUACAUUUGUGUUACAAAUAAUUGAGUUUAGUACUUUAAUGUCCUUUUUUGUUUAAAUAGAUUUAUCCAUCCUUUGAUUUCUCCACCAAUGAAAAUUAAGUAUUCCAUAAUUUAUAUUUUAUAAAUUAUGUAUGUUGCCGGCAAAUAAACCAUUACUAUUUCUUUGCUUUGAUAUUAUAAAUCAUAAUGCUUGGUAUAAUUCUUGCAAAGAGAGGAAUAUUCAUCAUACAAAGAAAGAUCCAUUAAAAGCAAUUGAUGAUUAAUAAUACUGAUCAUGCAAUGUUAUUAUUAUUAUUGAAUUAUUUGGAUUUCUACUCAUAUAGAAUUAUUGGGUUUUAAAAUUAACAAUUUAUAUGUAUUAUAUAGGAUUUAGAUCAAAGCAACUGAAUUCAGCUGAAUCAAUAACUGAAAAACUAGCUCCACCCUUACUAGUUGCUUCAGGUACUCUAUAGUGAUUAUUGUGCAUUUGUUUUACAAUUUGAUUGUUUUUGUUAUUUAGUUUCGAUCAUUUGAUUUUCGAUUUUCAAACAUGAUUGCUCAACGUGAUUAUUGUUCCCUUCGUCCUAAUUUAUAUGAAAGUAUAAAUUAUAGUUUGACUCUAAAAAAGGAAAUCAUGACAAUUAAAAGUGAACGGAGGGAGUAGUAUAUAUUAUCUUCCUUCUUUUUUUUUGUUAAAGUUGUUAUAAAAACUCGUUCAUGGGUUAUGUUUGGAUGGUUAAAUUUCGAAUCCAAAGUUAAAAAAAACAUCACUUUUUCCCUUCAAAAUACAUAAAGGGCCAUUCAAAUUUUAGUUUAAUCAAAAAGGGACACUUCGCUAGAGAAGGAGCGAGAUAUGUUGGUGCUAUAACUACCGUUAACGAAAUAAAAAAAUUGAUCAUCUCGCUAACUUAUGAGCAAUUUUCCUCUUUUAUUUUAUCUUUUUUCUCGCUACUUAUGAGUGAUUUGCUCUCUAUUUUUUUCCCCCAAAUAUCGUUCUACACUAAGCGAAUUUGUAAGUUUUUUUUUUUGUUAUUCUCGUUGCACACUGAGCGAGUUCUCAACUUCUUUUAUUAUAUGCCCUCAUAGUAACCCCAUCAUUAAUUUUUAUUUAGAUAACGAUAAAAACUUUCUAAUAAAAUAGAAAACAUUUUUAUUUCUUAAUAUUUUUUAUAAAUUGAAGUAGGAUAAACAUUUUUCCAAUGAAAAAAUCAUUAUUAGAAAAAGAAUGUGUUUUAAAAAAAACAGAAAUAAUAUAUCAUUUUUGACCUAUUAAGUACAACAAUAAGUGCAUUUUUAGACCAAACUAGUGAAGACAAUCAUAUUUUUUUAACCCCUUUUCUGUUAACUAGUUUUACGGAACGUGCGUUGCACGUUUAACUCAAAGUACAUAAUACAAAUCUUAUAUUGCAAAUGAUAUAGUUAAAUAAUAUAUAUUUUAUUUCACUUUUUCAGUACAAUAAAAUAAAAAUCAAAACAUAUAAAAAAAGUAACAACUCAUAAGUUAAAGGCUAAAAAAUCUUACAAACAUGAUACAUAUUUUAGUGACAUAUAACACCUUAAUUUAAAUACUCAUUGAAUAGACAAUAAGAAAUAAACUGAUGCGCAUAUAUUGAAUCCCAUCAUGAUCAAUCCAAAUACACAAAAAUCUUAUAAAAUUUGCUUCGGCUCAACCACAUGUACAUUAAAAAGUAAGAAAGUAGAAAAGGGAGAUAAUUGUAUAUUAAUUAGUAUAGCGACAUAAACCUAAAAAUAUGAUAACAUUAAGUUAUCAAUUAAUAUACUUUGUUAAUUAAGUACCUGAAACUAAAAUUAGUGGAGAAGAAGAAAUUAACUAAAUAAGAAGAGCUUGUGCAGACUGUAGUGAGAAAAAGAUCAUAACUCAUAAGCACAAAUAGAGAUCUUUAAUAAGAACAAUGAAAAUUGAAAUGCAAAUGAUGAAUCAGUUGGAAGGGAAUAGAAACUUAAGAGAUAUUUAUAUAUUAAUAUAUGUGAAGACUCCUUCAAAACUUUCAAUAUUAUAUUAUUAAUAUUUGGGAGUUAAUAGACUUAUUUAAUAGUGUUUUAUAAUUAGUUCAUGUAAUUAGAGGAAGAUGAAAAAACUUUCUUGAAAGUAACAAUUUUUUAUUUUUAUAUUUGGUGGAGAAACUGUCUUCUCCUUUAUUUGAGUAAAUAAAUAGGUGAGCAUUUAAGCAGUUUUCAGUUUUUUCCCCUUCAUUACACAUAUAUGUUAGUAAUUUAAUUAGGUGUUUAUGCUUUCUAAUCAUGGACAAAAAUGUUACUUCAUUUUACGUGAGAAUUACAAUAGUUUUUGUUUCUUCUUCUUCUUCACAUGUUUUUUUAGUCAUUUAAUAUGAAAUUUAUUUUUUCUAAUCAUGGAUAAAAAUGCUACUUAACUUUACAGAAUAUUUUCAUAAAUUAACUGUUCUCUCUUUUUUUUUCUUUUUUUUAAUAUAGCAAUUUAAUUUGAUAAUGACUUACGAAAUUGAGAAGUCUAUUAAACACAAAUGGACAUGAGACUCUUUAGCUUAUAAGGGGGAAAAAAACAGAUGUGUUAAAAUCCAUUCCAAUUCACAACUGAAGUCAUAACCAUCAUUUAAUAGAAUCUCAACUUUAAUGUCUAAAUACACUCAAGGUGCGUUAGUCCUGCAAAUUGGUCUAGUAAUAAGAUUAGGACAUUAAAUGUAUAUAAUAAUAAUAAUAAUAACAACAACAACAACAUGAUAAGAUUAUUAUUUAAUAUUUAAUAAAUUAGAUAUUUUAUAACAUUUUUAUUUAGAAAUAAGGGGAAGAUGGGGUAUAUGAUUAAUAGUAGAUCCCUUAAUAGUAUUAUUGUAGUAAUUCAACUUUAUAAGGUUAUUUUGGUAUUUCAACUUUCAACUUUUUUUGUUCUCACUUUUAGUAAUAUAAUAAUAAUAAUAAUAAUAAUAAUAUAUGAAUGAUAUGAUGAUGAUAUAUACAUUGUUUUAUCUAUCAUAACUUUUCAAAAUUUUCCAUUGAGAAUUAUGAUCAUGAUUUAAAACAAUAUCAAUGUACUCAUUUAUCAAGAAAAUAACAAUUUAAUUAUUAAAUGGCUUAAGGACUUAAAUUCUACCAUUAUGUAACUAAAUUAUUUGUAUUUAAUUAAAUAAUUAAUCCAAUUUUUAUUUAGUAAAAGGGCAAAAUGGUAAUUCAACUUUUCACUUUGAAGCUUCCCACUUAUAAUAAUAUAUGAUUAAAUCAUCACAAAAUCCCCCAAAUCAAGCAUUCAAAAACCAAAAAACAUUCAAAUAGGUUUCUAUUAUCAAAUAAAACCUUGCAUAUGGUUGUAAAGAUCCACCCAAUUUAAUUUCUCUUCAACAUAUUUCAUUCUCUCUGGAAUCUCCUUCAGCUUUGAACAGUGACCGAUAGCAAGUCUUUUAAUGAGAGGCAUGGCACUUGUGGCUAAAUGGCACAUUAUUUCUUUUCCAUUAUAAGCCUCUUCUAAUAUGAGAUCUCUUAGAUUUGGCAACAUUCCCAAAGUAGGCAUCGAAUCAUGGCAUCGAAUCUUCCAUGAGUUUUGACUUCCAAAGAACCAUCAUAGUGAUGGAAUUUGGAAACAGAGGCAGUUUCUCUAUUCUCCCUUUUAACAACAAUUUCUGGACCUUUUGACAAGAACUAAGAAAUUCAAGGGAUGAGAAUGAUUUAUCCAAUUUACAAAACAAUCUGAGACUACUAAGGUUUUUCAAGCUGCUAAUGUUGUUCAGGGAGUAAGAUUUGGUAAUUCGAUGCAUGCUUAAUUCUCGAAGAUUGACUAAAUCAACAGGGUCAACAUCUUUCCACUGAUCACAACGAACGUCUUUAAGAACUUCCAAACUAAUGAGUUUGCUUAUACGUUUCAGAGGUUUUGAAUAUGAAGCAACUAAAUGUCUUAGAUUUAUCAGGUGGGUAGUUCGCAAGAGUAUUCCCCCUCAUUGACAACAAGUGUCUGUAGAUUCUUCAGGUUGCCAAUGGAAGAGGGAACAUCACGGAUACCUCUCAAUAUUAGCAACUUAAGGUGGUACAAACUUCCAAUGGCAUCAGGUAUUAUAGACACAGCACGCAUAUCCAAGUACAACACAUAGAGAUGUUGGAACACACUACUGAACUUCAUAAGACUCAUAUUAUGAAAAUCUGGAUCAGAGAACAUAAUUGACCUCAACUUCAAGUUAGAAAGAUCAAGUGAGAGGUACCUUUCUCCUUCACUAUGAAUGACAUGUCUGAUACAUAAGGAGGAUAUCGAGUGCUUUCUUGGAUCAUAAAAGUCAAAGAAGUUUACCUCCAAUGCCUUUUGUAUCGCAAGAUCACGGAGUAAAUCAUGAACCCUACAGUCAGUAACUUUUUCCCAAAGUGUUUUAGCCACUUGAACCAAGCUUCGUCUUAUCAGCUCAUUCAAGAAGCCUUCAGCGACAUCCUCCAUCCACAACCGUAUUAUGUUAUCAGCCUCAAGCACUUGAUCUUCUGGAAAAAUACCAAAGUAGAGAAAACACUGCUUGAGCGCAGUUGACAAAUCAUUGUAGCUUAAUGAUAGUAUGUUAGAUAUUUCAAUAAAUUUAUCUUCUUUAAUGUUCUUCCACCUUUUGCCAUUCGUUUAGCCCCUUUUUAUGCGAAAGUAGUCCGCUCAAUACAACAAUUGCAAGAGGUAAGCCUCUACACUUUUCCACCAUAUCCUUAGCUAGACUUUCCAUUUCUGGAACCAUUGCUCCAACAUCAAGCAGUUUCCUACAAAAGAGAUCCCAACUUUCUUCUUGACUUAGGAAACGAAGUUUAUGAACAAAACNNNNNNNNNNNNNNNNNNNNNNNNNNNNNNNNNNNNNNNNNNNNNNNNNNNNNNNNNNNNNNNNNNNNNNNNNNNNNNNNNNNNNNNNNNNNNNNNNNNNNNNNNNNNNNNNNNNNNNNNNUAAGAAGAUCCAUUGUGUUGUACUCUUGAGAAACACAUAUCCAAGAGCGUGUAGGGAAACUAGAGGCUAUAUUAGGACUGGUGUAAAGUUUUCUCGCAAGAGUGGUCUUGCCUAAACCCCCCAUUCCAUAAAUGGAGAGGACGCUUCGACGAGGCUCUGCUUUGAGAAGUUCAGCUAGCAAGUUUUGUACAACAUCCUGAAAGCCAACAAAAAUGUAAUCGUGGUCAUCCACAUAUGAGGUAGUUCUCCUCAAUGUUGCAACCUGAUUACUUGGCCCUUCUCCAGCAUUACUAUUGAUAUUUGUAAUACCAUAAGUCUCUCGUUUGCGAGAGAUAUCCAUGAUUCGUUUCUUGAGUGAUUUGAUCUCCUUGGCGACAUUGUAGAAUUUCUUCUCCUUCCUACAUAUGCAAGCACAAGCCUUGAGAUAACUAGCACGUUUACCAGCCUCAAAGCUGUAAGUUUCGAGUAUAGCAACAGCGUCAUUAGCAAUAGAGUUGAUCUCAAACACCCAUUGUACAACUCUAUGAUCCGCACAUUGCUUUAGUUCUGCAUCUUUGAGGAAAGGUUGUAUGAAGAGUAGCUCAUUUCUCAGCCAUGUAAUUUCAUCUCUGAGACUUGUAAGCAGGGAAACUUGUUGACUGAGGAAAUCGCCCAAUUUUCGUAGUGCAAAUGACAGAAAGGCAUCAGCCAUCUUCAGGAGUGUUGAUUUUUAUUUAGAAAAGAGGGGGCUGUAGGCUGUAUAUAUACAAAUAAAGUUUAAGUCAAGAAUUGAUAUAAGGCCAAAAAUGGACGAUCAAUACGAAAGCAAGACAUGAAUUAUUUGCCGGCAUAUGCAUUGGUUAAAACACUAUGUGGCUGUGUUUGAUACUCAUCAAUGUCAUAUCAUGAUAACAAGUUAAGACAAUUCAAAUUGAAUUAUCACCUGAAAUUAAAUUUAUCUUUUGUAGUAACAUAAUCAGUAAUCACAUAUAGUUCCCUGAUAGUACAUAUAUUUUUUUUAAAUACAAUUUCCUUAGUAAAAAUCAUAGCACUCAUAGUGCAUAUAAUUUUUUCUUAAAAAUUAUCAUUAUAAGUAAAAAUAAAAUAAAAUGGGACCCCAAAAAUAUGGGCCCCAAGUAAUGGAUUUAGUGGCCUAGGGGUUAAGACGGCCCUGGUUGUGGUAAAUGACAGUUAGUGGUAUUAAAUACUUCUAGUAAUUCUAUUUUAUCAUUUACCGUAACUUUAUUAUAAUAGCUUUAUCACGCAACCUAUUUUAUUAUAAUACGAUAAAGAGGUUGUUUUCGAAAGACCCUUGGCUCAAGAAAAAGAUUUUGAAAGAAAUGCAAGAGCCAAAAAAGUUGCUAUGAAAAUAUGGAUUCCUCUGAAUAUUUAGUGAAGUCUGAAUUCUGAUACCAUGACGGUUUCUGAAGAAACCAGAAACUUCUCUAACAGACUAGUAAUUUGAUGAAGAAUAUUUAGUGAAAACUAAAAACAAGUAGCACCAAAAGCAUGGAAUAUUUAAUUUGCAUUGAUGGAGAAAUCAAGUUCUUGAGUUUUGUAAAAUAGACAAACACUGACUCUGUACCUUGCUGCAGAGUUGCAAUCUCCUUAUUUAGACUGAAGGUUCUUGAUCCGUCCAAGGGUCUUUCGAAAACAAUCUCUUUGUAAAAUAGACAGACACUGACUCUGAAUUCUGAUACCAUGACGGUUUCUGAAGAAACCAGAAACUUUUCAAACAGACUAGUAAUUUGAUGAAGAAGAUAGCUUCAUUUACUUGAUGAGUAACAAUCAGAUGUGAGUAGUCUAUUUAUACUACUCAAUAAGCUACUCAAUACAAGUUGUUGUUAGUAACUAACUGUCACUAUCUAUAACUAACUUAGUAACUAAUUAAUUAACACUCUUUUCUAACUGUUUUCUGGAAGUAGUCUGACAGAUUUCUUUGUUUGAGUUCUAUCAACAUGGUGCUAGAUAGUUAAAACAAAAACAACCAACAUUAUAGUAGAUCAAGCUAUAAUUAAUUUGAUUUAUGAAAAAACAUAGAACCAAUAGAGAAAAACAAUUGAGAAAGAUUGAACAACAGAGUCUUGCGUCUUAAGUGAAGAACUAAUCAUAAACUUAAAAGAAAGAAUUUCACUGAGAAAACGAUUUGGGUGGGGGAGAGGUGGGGGAAGACGAUUUCACAUGUCUUUAUUUAAUUCGUCACUUUGACGUGUCAUCAGCGAGUGUGUUACACACACCUUACACAUUUGGCUGAUUGUUAAAAAAGUGUCAAAAAGACAUAACGGGGCAUAACAUGAGGUGUCUAAAAUGAACAAAUUCUAGUUAAAGUGUCUAAGUGAAAACUUGUGCCAACUUUAGGUGGCCACCGAUGGAUUAGGCCAAUGAUAGUUAGGUACGAGCAUUACUCAUUCAGCUAAUAAACUAGAGCCUACUCUUGUUGCCCCGAUCCACAGAGAUUUAGUCAUUUGGCACUCUGAUUGUCUUACGAGGAGAUCCAUCUGUUGAUUUUUGGUGUGACCCUAAUUUCUAUUUCGUUCAUGUUUUUUUUGUCUUUCCAUUGUUUUGUUGUUGUAAUGUGAUUUCUUAUGUUUGUUAAAGUUGCAAGAAUUUUCAGGUUUAUGUCAGAAGAUUCAGUACUACUACUCACUACUAGUUAUCUAAUUUAAGUUAAACAAAGAGGAACUUGAAAAUAUUAGUUUAGAACAAAGUAACUUAAAAGAGACUAAAAUACUAAGUGUAAAUUACAAGAGAGAAAUGAAAACAUAUAGCCUUUGGUAGCCAAAAUCCAAAGUUGCAUUGUCUCUCCUCUGAUGGAUUAUUUUCCCUCUUCAAACUUCGAUGAGUUAGGGAUGACCUCUGAUAUAGCCUUUGGUAGCCAAAAUCCAGGUCGUUCGAUAGAGGCUGCACGAUCAAGUACCAAUGGAUCCCGCAAUGUGAUCUGAAUGCCAUCAUAUGUCCACAACUCUAGCUAAGCCAGCAACCGCAACAUCCAUGUUCUUGACAUUCCAGCUCGUUCCACGUGCUUUUACUUCCUGCUUUGGCCAUUGUCCUAAUUUAGAAACUCGCUCCAUAGAAAUCAGAGGCGGAAGAUAAGAAAAAAAAAAAAAGGAACAAUUAGAGGAUUUUAUUUACACAUACGGCACUAUGACAUCUGCUAUUGGCUAACUUGCAACAUGUUGUUAGUUGUUAACUUGUUUUUGCAACUACGACUUCUCUUUAGCAAAGAAUACUAUCUCACCUUUCAUUGUACUUCUCUCAAAUCUAUAUGUUGAUAUUCAACAAAAAACAUAAUACUCAUGUAGUUCAAGUGGAAUUGGCUAUAAAGUAGGAAAUAUUAUUGAAUCAGAAAUAGUGCAGGAAUUGGAGUAUAACCUGCAAUCUCACUCCAGCAUGGUUUUCUGUCUUUACUAGAUGAAGAGACACACUAGGUGAUGCCCAGACAGUGAUGUAGAUUGUUUCAACUGAGGCUUGAACUAGAUCCAGUCUAACUAUAUGUACAGUCUGCCCAUGCUGCAAGAAAAUGGUGAAAAUUGCAUUUUAGAGUCGAAAAGUCAUUUUUGCAGCCUUACCCUGCAUUUAAGGAAGAGGCUGUUUUCACAACUCGAACCCAUGACCUCCUAGUCACAUGGAAGCAACUUUAUAGUUACGUCAAAGCUCCCCUUCAGUAGACAAGUAAGAAAAGAUGUCCUCCAGUGGAAAAGGAAAACCAAAUAUAUCAGUCCCUCCCUUAACCAAUUGAGACUUGAUCUGGUUAAAUAUUAUGAAAAUAUUUUCUUUUCUCUUCAAGUGACAAUUUCUUCUCCUGUUUCCCCCAAAUAUUAUUUAACACGUACGCUAUUUAUAAAAUAAAAAUGAACAAAGUUAUGUAUAGGUACCUUUGCUAUUACCGAAGAAAACUUGCCAUAUGCUUGCCAAGAUCCAUCUCAUUUAAUUUCUCUUCAACAUCUUUCAUUCUCUCUGGAGUCUCCUUCAGCUCUGAACAGUGAUGGAUACCAAGACCUUUAAUGAGAGGCAUUGCACUUGUGCCUAAAUGCCAUCUUUCUAGGUUCCGAAGUUUUAUAAGAUGAAGGAACUCGAGUUGACUGAAGCUGUUAUCACUGCACAUUAUUUCUUUUCCUUCAUAAGCAUCUUCUAAUAUGAGAUUCCUUAGGUUUGGCAACAUUCCCAAAGUAGGCAUCGGAUCUUCCAUGAAUUUUGACUUCCUAAGAACCAUCAUUGUGAUGGAAUUUGGAAACAGAGGCAGUUUCUCUAUUUUCCCAUGUAAGCACAAUUUCUGGAGCUUUUGACAAGAAUUAACAAAUUCCAGGGAUGGGAAUGAUUCAAAACGUUCACAAAACAAUCUGAGAGUGCUAAGGUUUUUCAAGAUGCUAAUGUUGUUUAAGGAGUAAGAUUUCUUAAUACGUUGCAUGCUUAAUUCUCCAAGAUUGACUAAAUCAACAGGGUCAACAUCUAUCCACUGAUCACAACAAACGCCUUGAAGAACUUGAAGACUAGUGAGUUUGCUUAUAAGUUUCAGAGGUUUUGAAUACGAAGCAACUAAAUGUCUUAGAUUUAUCAGGUCAGCUGUCACGCGGGGUAGUCUGCAAGAGUAUAGCCCCUCAUUGACAAUAAGUGUCUGUAGAUUCUUGAGGUUGCCAAUGGAAGAUGGAAGAUCAUGGAUACCUCUCAAUCUUAAGAACUUGAGGUGGUACAAACUUCCUAUGGCAUCAGGUACUGAUGCAGAAUGCCUAUUGUAAACAGGCAUAUCCAAGUACAACACAUAUAGAUGCUGGAAAACACUCCUGAAUUUUAUAAGACUCAUCUUAUGAAAAUCUGGAUCAAAGAACAUAAUUGACCUCAACUUUAAGUUAGAAAGAUCAAGUGAGAGGUACCUUACUCCUUGACUAUGAAUGCCAUGUCUGAUACAUAAAGAGGAUAUGGAGUGGUUCUUUGGAUCAUAAAUGUCAAAGAAGUUCACCUCCAAUGCCUUUUGUAUCACAAGAUCACGAAGUAAAUCAUGAACCCUACAAUGAGUAACUUUUUCCCAAAAUGUGUCUACCACUUGAACCAAGCUUCUUCUUAUCAGCUCAUUCAAGAAGCCUUCAGCCACAUCCUCCAUUCUUUCUUCUCCAUUUGGUACGAAACCCUCAGCCAUCCACAACCUUAUUAUGUUAUCAGCCUCGAGAACUUGAUCUUCUGGAAAAAUACCAAAGUACAGAAAACACUGCUUGAGCACAGUUGACAAAAUCAUUGUAGCUUAAGGAUAGAAUGCAGGAGAUUUCAAUAAAUUUAUCUUCAAUAAUGUUCUUCCAAAGUUGAUCUUUCACUUCUUGCCAUUUGUCCACCCCCCUCUAUGCGAAAGUAGUCCACUCAAUACAACAAUUGCAAGAGGUAAGCCUCUACACUUUUCCACCAUAUCCUUAGCUAGACUUUCCAUUGCUGGAACCAUUGCUCGAACAUCAAGUAGUUUCCUACAAAAGAGAUCCCAACUUUCUUCUUGGCUUAGGAAACGAAGUUUAUGGAUAAAACCUCUGUUGUCUGCUCUUUCAGCGACAUCCUCUUUGCGCGUGGUAAUAAUAACUCUGCUGCCAUUCUUGCUAUCCGGGAAUGCUCUUUUCAAACUUUCCCAUGCUUCUCUCUGCCAUACAUCAUCAACCACCACAAGGUAUUUGCGUUCUUUUAAUAGAUCACGAAGAUAAAUUUCUAGAUCUCCUUCUGUCAUCCUUUCCAACAAAUCUAGAGUUUCGUUGGUGCGCCCUUGGAUGGAUUUUAUGAUAUUCCUGAAAAGAUCCAUGGUGUUGUACUCUUGAGAAACACAUAUCCAAGAGCGUGUAGGGAAACUAGAGGCUAUAUUAGGAUUUUUGUAGAGGUUUCUUGCAAGAGUGGUCUUGCCUAAUCCGCCCAUUCCAUAAAUGGAGACGACGCUUCAACGAGGCGCUGCUUUGAGAAGUUCAGAUAGCAAUGUUUGUACAACAUCCUGAAGUCCAACAAAAAUGUAAUCCUGGUCAUCCACAUAUGAGGUAGUUCUCCUCAAUGUUCUGACCUGAUUACUUGGCCCUUCUCCAGCAUUACUAUUGAUAUUUGUAAUACCAUAAGUCUCUCGUUUGCGAGAGAUAUCUAUGAUUCGCUGCUUGAGUGAUUGAAUCUCCUCGGCGACAUUGUAGAAUUUCUUCUCCUUCCUGUAUAUGCAAGCGCAAGCCUUGAGACAACUAACACCUUUACCAGCCUCAAAGCUGUAAGUCUCGAGUAUAGCGACAGCAUCAUUAGCAAUAGUGUUGAUUUCAAGCACCCAUUGUUGAACUCUAUGAUCUACACAUUGCUUUAGUUCUGCAUCUUUGAGGAAAGACUGUAUGAAGCGUAACUCAUUUCUCAGCCAUGUAACUUCAUCUCUCAGACUUGUUAUCAGUGAAAUUUGUUGAAUGAGGAAAUCACCCAAUUUUUGAACUGCAAAUGACACAAAGGCAUCAGCCAUCUUUAUGGUUGAAAAAAAGAAGAGAUGACUAUUGGAAAUCAAUAUUUUUUGAAAAAAGGUAGUGUGUAUGGAAAUUAAUAUUGGAAGCAGUAGAUUGAGAGAUGAAUAAUAUUGUUAUGAUGGAAUAAAUUAUUGAGAGUUUGAUAAGUGAUGAAUAUUGUUAACAUGGAAUUCAGUAUUUAAAGCUUAAAAAAUCCGACAGAGGAAAAAGUCUAAAAGUAGAAAGAUGAUAGAGUUUGAGGUUGAUGGUAAAGAAAGAAAAGUAUAUAUUCUCUACUAACUGCAAGCCAAGAAUUUAAAAUUGCAUGACACAAGUUAUGCUCAGUGUAGUGGUGAAGCCAAAAGUUGCCAUUCAAGAUUUAGUAUAUAUGUAUGAAAAAUAAGUUUUAACUUUUGUAUAAUUUUUUAUAUACAUAGUAUAAUUUUUCGACGAAAAAUGUCUGAUUGAACACCCUAAGCUAUAUGUGGCUACGCCACUGCUUCAUUGGCACAAGUUGUGUGUUUAGACAAGAACUUAUGUCCCAAGGCACAAGUCCCCCAGAGCAAACAACAACAACAAGUAGGGUCUGGAGAGGGCAAAAUGUAUGCAGACCGUACCACUACCUCGUGGAGGUAAAGGUUGUUUCAAAAAGGCCCUCGGCAAUAAGUCCCCUGGGUCAAAUAUCACGAUAUUUCUGUACUUUAUACUUUACUUAAAAAGACAUAGUAUCAUAUUAGAUCAAAUUUUAUUAUUCAGAAGAGUUGGUUUAAUUGUUCCUCCACCUAAAUCACUUUUUGCUAAUUAAUUUCAUCUUUAAAUUAUAGAUACCUUUCUUUUCUUUUUAACUAUCCUUGUUAGGGGAAUCUAUAGGAAAAAAUAUGAUGAACAUGACUUCUCAAUUUGAAGAUGCGUUUUGUAACUUUGAAGAGAAGAAAUAAAAUAUUUGAAUUCAGUCUCGGAGGUUAUUCCAAAAAGAUUUUGUAAGAGCUUGAAGGUCAAUAUCUCAAAAUUGAUUUGCUGAAAAAGAAUUUUGUUUCGAAUUGGUGAUUUUUCAAAAGAACUGAUGAAACAUCGAUGAGACUAAUAAUAUAAAAUUUGAGAUUAUUUGGGUAACAUUUGAAUUAGCUUUAGACUGAAUUUUUAAUUAUAGUUCGUUGAAAUUCAAAAUUACCGUCGAAUUAUAUCAAAAAUCAUAUGAUAAUCAUAUAGUGACGGAUGCAUUAUAUGUAAAUUGUUUUUUAAGUUUGGUAUUUUAUUGUAGUUGUAUUGUUUUCGGUCUCCCACUCGGUGUCCGAUACCCGCUAGAGCUCGACUAUCUCGAAUUCGCGCCGUGUAGAGCCAUUUGAGGGGAAGCGCUCUCUAACAAGUAAAUUCCACAGUACUCUUUAAUAUAAUUUUAUUUUAUUUUUUACUAAUUAAUUCAAAGAAGUAGAAUACUCUAUGGUUAAUUUUUGCAUAAAAAUUAGGAAAAAAACAUCUCAGAAAGUUACUUAGUUAUAACAAGCAACAAACAGUUUUGUGAACUAAUAGCCCACCAAUAAGCUCUUUAACAUAAGUAAUUUAUGUAGGGAAACUUUCGCAUAUAGCCACUAAUUAUAAAAAUAGCUUAAUUAUGUAUAUUGCCACUAAAAAUAGCUUAAUUAUACAUAUUGCCACUAAAAAUAGCUUAAUUAUGCAUAUAGCCACUAAAAACAAGUUAUACCAAAAUCAUGGAAUAUUUAAGUUGCAUUGAUGGAGAGACCAAUAGAGAUGGACAAAUCUAUUUAAACAACAUGUGAAACUCAAAACAAAUAGAAGAUAGGAAGAUAUACAAUAAUAGAGAGGCUAGAUACAUAUGGAUUCAAUUUUGAAAAUGAAAAUUCUAACCACAUUCCUUAUAAUUGGAAUAUUUUUGUUUGAUAGUUUUGUGAGAAGUGAACCAAAUACCAAAGAGAUUAGCCAUAUUUGCAAUGGGAAUGUGUAUGAUAAGACUUAAGAGUGGCCCAUUUGCACUAAGUUUGGCUUAUGCUGUUGAAGCAUUACAAAAUGUGACACUAAAUCAAGGUUAUGAUUACUUCAUAACAUCUCCUUAUCCUAAUGAUGCUUUAGCUUAUGGCCAUGCUACUUAGCUUGCAACUCCAUUAUUGAAUUUUCAGAUUGUGGCCUUUGUCUAAGUAGUGCAAAAUCAUUCUUGUUGAGUAAUUGUGAUGGUAGCAUUGGAGGUCAAGUUGAAUUUGUUGAUUGCUCAAUGAGGUACGAACAAUACUCGUUCAGCUAAUAAACUAGAGCCUAAUCUUUUUGCCAUGAUCCACGAAGAUUCAGUCAUUUGUCACUCUGAUUGUCUUAUGAAGAGAUUCCUCAUUGAUUUUUGAUGUAUCCCUGAUUCCUAUCUCGUUUCGUUCAUCUUCGUUUCUUCCUUUUUCCGUUGUUUUGUUUAUUAGGAAAGGCAAGCACAAAAUAAAUGUGCACGACAGGGCAAUAGCGGAAGAAAAUCCAAGUAAAAAAUUUCCCUUCUAUUUGAACCAAGAGAAGACAAAAUAAUGCAAGAAAAACACUGUUUGGGGUCGCAAACAAAUCAAUCAAGCAAAUAAAAUAAAUACAAACACGAGACACCAUAUUUAACAUGGAAAACCUCUUCGGUGUGAAGAGUAAAAACCACAAGGCCAAAGCUCCACUAAAAUCAACAAGAGUUACAAAAGUGUUCUCCAAAAUGGUCACCAACAAAGUGUCAAACAAUGAGCAACACAACUACAAGAUAGCACCAAACACUAGAGAAAUAAAAGGAGCAAAAACACCAAAUAUGCAGCUACUGUUCACGAGCAAAAAUCUGGAGUUACAGGACUCCAAAACACCCUCUUUCAGUUCUCAAUCAAAGAUUAAGUUGGAAGGAACAAGCUGUACAAAAAGCAGCUCAAUCGGAUAAGAAACGAAGUUGGAAUCGCGAUUUGAAAUUGGCUGCAAGGGCUUGUGCGAAAAUCUGCACUCUCUCACUGUUGUCUCUAUAUGUCUACUCUCAAUCUCAUGUAAUUCUUCAAAAUAAGACCUAAAAAGAAAGUCUUACAUAUGCACCAUAAUAUUGGGCUUAUAGACAAAAGUGGGCUAAUCAAAUUUGAGCUAAAUUUAUCCACAUAGGAAGGGAAAAAGGCCCAAAACCCAACAUUGUUGUUGACUUGUUGUAUCUAUAUGUACUAGAUGGUGGGUGCCCGGGCGCGCACGGACCCAAUAUUUAUACAUCUCUGUGUGUAAAAAUUAUCUUGGAACGCAAAACAGAUGAGAUAGCAGCACCAAAACAAAUGGAUCUAAAUCAAUGAGCAUCAAAAGAACACCAGAGAACGGUAACAAAAAAAUUUAUGCUUUAUUUAGUAGUUAACAUGAACUACAUGCAGUAGGAUGAUAAACAUAGCAAAUAAAGAGGUCUAAAAUAUAUUGAAUAAAUUAAGAAUUUAAAAUGCAAUUAUAACAGUGCAACGAUGUUUGUUGAACAACAAACAUAGAAUCAAAGUUAGGAAACCUCUCAUUUUGAGAAAUUUAUAGAAUCUUUCUUAAAGUUCAGUUUUAAUAACAAAAUGGUUUAUCAAAAUUUUAUUGAUCAAGAUAUCAAAUCUCACCAUAGGAGCUAGGUCAUUCUCAUGUGAUAUUAUAAGAUUUUCAAUAGCUACAUAUUAAUUUAUCAGAAGCUCAACUAUCCAAAUGAAUUUUAAAAGAUGCAUUUCAUUUUUUACCGUUAAUUCUAUACUACCUUAAAAGCAUUAACUCCAAACUUGAAUGUUGAAUUACAAUAAUACCCCCAAUUAAAAAUACUCAAUUUAUUUAUUUAUUAAUUUAAAUAAGUUUAUUAUAUUGAAAGUAGAUACCUUUUCAAAUUAAAGGAUUGCGACUUUUUCAAUGAGUUGUGACUUUUUUUUUACGGGUUCUGACUUUUUCAAUGAGUUGUCACUUUUCCAAAGGGUUGUGAUUUUUUCGAAGGGCUGUGACUUUUCUAAAGGGUUGUGCCUUUUCUGAUGAGUUGUGCCUUUUUCAAAGGGUUGUGGCUUUGCUGAUAUGCAGUGACUUUUUUGAAAGGUUGUGACUUUUCGGAUAAGGCACAAUUAANNNNNNNNNNNNNNNNNNNNNNNNNNNNNNNNNNNNNNNNNNNNNNNNNNNNNNNNNNNNNNNNNNNNNNNNNNNNNNNNNNNNNNNNNNNNNNNNNNNNNNNNNNNNNNNNNNNNNNNNNNNNNNNNNNNNNNNNNNNNNNNNNNNNNNNNNNNNNNNNNNNNNNNNNNNNNNNNNNNNNNNNNNNNNNNNNNNNNNNNNNNNNNNNNNNNNNNNNNNNNNNNNNNNNNNNNNNNNNNNNNNNNNNNNNNNNNNNNNNNNNNNNNNNNNNNNNNNNNNNNNNNNNNNNNNNNNNNNNNNNNNNNNNNNNNNNNNNNNNNNNNNNNNNNNNNNNNNNNNNNNNNNNNNNNNNNNNNNNNNNNNNNNNNNNNNNNNNNNNNNNNNNNNNNNNNNNNNNNNNNNNNNNNNNNNNNNNNNNNNNNNNNNNNNNNNNNNNNNNNNNNNNNNNNNNNNNNNNNNNNNNNNNNNNNNNNNNNNNNNNNNNNNNNNNNNNNNNNNNNNNNNNNNNNNNNNNAAAAAAAAUAAUUAUUUUUUGAAAUAGCUAUAUGUGCCGUCCCGUUUAUCCCAUCCCGUUCCGUUCCGGUCCAUUCCGGUCCGUCCCGGUUCUAUCCCGGUAUAUAGUGGGACGGGACGGAACCGAGCCUCCAUCCCGGUAGUUCCGGUCCGGUUCAUCCCGGUACCGGUCAACAACCCGGUCAAACCGUCCCGUUCCGGUCCGGUUCCGGUUCGUUCCGGUCCGGUGGUCCCAUUCCGGUCCGGUGCCCAGCCUUAGGCACAAUUAACACCUAUUCAUACUACUAUUUGACAGUUAUAAAAAGAGGGGUUUCCUCGCACUUUUAAACUACAUUUUCUUUAAGUUCUCUACUCUUCUUUUUCUUAAAAAAUCUCAAGUGUUAUUUGCAAAAAUUGAUUAAGUUCAAAAUUCGAGGUACCUCAUAAGAAAAAGUUGGUGAAAAAAUUGUAGGAAUCAUUCAUCAAUUCACACUCGUAUUUUUUUCUUACCAUUUUCAUGAGUUCAGUGACGAAAAGUUGUGGGAGAGACAAAAUAUUAAACAGAUAUGAAAAAAGGCAUAUGAUUUGGGUAAGAUAUUUCUUCUUUGUUUUUUAUUUUCUAUUCUUUUCCCUCAAACGAAGGAGUUUCUUCCUAAUUUUUCUAAAACAAUGGGUAUCAACGUAGUCCAUUGAAUUAUUAGUUUUGAUAUUAAAUUCAUUAUUCAAAAAUAGAUUUUCACUUUUACUUAUAAUAUGAUAACAUAGUCAUGAUAAUAAUUAUUUUUAAUAGAUAUGUAUGUAAAAAUGAAAGGAGAAAGUAAAGUGUUGGUGGCAAGAGAUUUAAAUCAAAUGGAACACUAGAGUGAAUAUAGCAUGAACAUAUAUUUUUGUCUUCCUUCUUCAUUGACUAUGUAUUGUUCCAUAUAAUUUUUCUUUAUGUCACAAGAUGCACACUCCUUACUAGCUAUAUAAAAAUAGAUAAGAAAAUUGUGAUUGAUCAUUAAAUGAUCUUAUAUCAUAUUAAUGAUUCUAUAAAUAAUACUUUACAUUUUAUUCAUCUAUUGUUUUUUAUUAUUGAAAAUAUUAAAUAUUUAAUAUCAUGAUACAACUUCUAUAAGAUACUAAUACUUUCAUUAGACAACAACUAUAUGAUAUGUAUGCGGCAAAAAAAAGGAGAAGACUACAACUCCACAAAGAUAAGGUAGAAACUUAACGAAAUGAAAUAUUUUUCAUCAUAGGUGAUGUUAUUCAUGUAUUAAAAUUAAAUUAUUCUACUGAAGUAUAUAUAAUCAUCAUUCAUUAUAACAACCAAGUACACCUUUUUUGUAAAAUCACCUCUCUAUGAUAGUCUUACUCAAAUAUUAAUAGAGUAAUAAUAUUUUGUAAAAGAUAUGUUACAUAUAAAGAUAAAAUAUUGAAAUACUUAUGGUAAUCCUUAUUAGUGUCAUGCGCAUACUAAAGUACAAGUAUGAAUAUUUAAGACAAAAUCUGUACUUAAAUGGUGUACAUCAUUUAUGUUUAUAACCUCAAGAGGAAAGGGUAUUGGUGACAUUUUUUUAAUGAAUAUUUUUUUUCUAUUUUGUUGGUUAGAUUUGUUUACAAAAUUGAGUGAAGUAAUAAAUAAUAUUAUUAAAGAAAUGUCACUUUCUCCCAUAUUUAAACUUUGAAUGUAUUUUGAAAUGUUUUAAUGAUAACUAUAAACACAAAUGUUGAUACCCUAUUCUCACUCACUCUUCUACUAUGGUAGAAAUAGAAUGUAUAUAUUUUUUUUACUUUUGUGUUGCAAAUAAUUGAGUUUAGUUCUUUAAUGUCCUUUUGUUUAAAUAGUUGAAUUAUGAGCAAUUUUCUCUUUGGUUUUAUCUUUUUUCUCGUUGACUUAUGUGCGAUUUGCUCACUAUUUCUUUUUCCAAAAAUCUCUCCAUACUAAGCGAGUUUGAAAGUUUUUUUUUUUUUGUUAUUUUCGUUGUACACUGAGCGAGUUCUCAACUUCUUUUAUUAUAUGCCCUCAUAGUAACCCCGUCAUUAAUUGAAGUAGGAUAAACAUUUUCUAAUGAAGAAAAAUCAUUAUUAGGAAAAGAACGUGCUUUAAAAAAAAAAGAAGAGAGAAAUAAUAAACUUAAUUGGAAAAAAGACAGUUUUGACUUAUUAAGUAACAAUAACAACAUUUAUAGAUCAAACUAUUGAAGACAAUGAUAUUUUUGGAUCAAACUAUCCACUAAGAAUAUUUUUAUUCAUUUUACAUGAUUUAAGAAUAUUAUAAACCCUUUUUCCGUUAAUUAAAUCAUCACAAAAUCCAAAAAAAAAAAAAAAAAGUUGUUUUCCAACACAUGUUUCCACACACUAAGAAAAGCCAAAAACAGAAAGAAAUUAAACAUUGAAAAACGAAAACAUAAGAAAAAACAGCAACCUUGAUUGAUGGUUGGAGAAGGCAAGUUGAUGAAGUAAGAGCUUCUUCUCUGUUGAUUUAACACAAAUAUUAUUUAUUUAUAUUUAUAUAAAAGAGGAACAAAAAAAUACUACUAAAUUGUGGACAAGAGAGUAUUUUUAAUAUCAUUUUUUUAACAUAUAAAUAAAGCAUCGUCUUAAAUGUGGAUAAGCAAGAGAACAUACAGUAGACCAAUUAUGUUCAAACCAAUUACAAAGCUUAAAACAAUAAUAAAGAAAUGAAACACUAAAACCACUCAAUUAAUAACCAAUGUGCUUGGCAGAAAUGCCAUGCCCCCAUCAAUACCUCUACGAUUAUGAAGACAUCAUAUAUAUAUAUAUAUAUAUAUGCUUGAAAAGCUUCACCACAUAUAAUUCCUCUUCAACAGCUCCACGUCUUUCAUUCUCUCUGGAAUCUCCUUUAAAUUUGGACAGUCAUGGAUACCAAGACCUUUAAUCAGAGGCAUUGCACUUGUGCCUAAAUCCCAUCUUUCUAGCUUUGAAAGAUCAUAAAGAUGAAGGAACUCUAGUUGACUGAAGCUGUUAUCACUGCACAUUAUUUCUUUUCCUUCAUAAGCUCCAACCAAAUGGAGAUUCCUUAGGUUUGGCAACAUUCCCAAAAUAGGCAUCGGAUCUUCCGUCAGUUUUGAGUUCUCAAGAAGCAUCAUUGUGAUGGAAUUUGGAAACAGAGGCAGUUUCCCUAUUCUCCCUUCUAACCUCAAUUUCUGGAGCUUUUCACAACAAUUAACAAAUUCAAGAGAUGGGAAUGAUUCAGUUUCUCCACAAAUCAAUUUGAGAGUGCUAAGGUUUUUCAAGCUGCUAAUGUUGUUUAGGGAGUAAGUUUUGCUAGUAUGAAACAUGCUUAAUUCUCGAAGAUUGACUAAAUCAACAGGAUCAACAUCUUUCCAUUGAUCACAACAAACUCUUUCAAGAACUUGAAGACUAGUGAGUUUGCUUAUAUGUGCCAGAGGUUUUGAAUACCAAACAACUAAAUGUCUUAGAUUUAUCAGGUUAGCUGUCUCGCGGGGUAGUUUGCAGGAGUAGUAUCCCCCCUCAUUGACAACAAGUGUCUGUAGAUUCUUGAGGUUGCCAAUGGAAGAUGGAAGAUCACGGUUAGCUCUCAAGCUUAAGAACUUAAGGUGGUACAAACUUCCUAUGGCAUCAGGUAUAGCACCACAGCCUUUAAUAUGCAAGUACAACACAUAUAUAUGUCGAAACACAUCUAUAUGUUGGAACACAUUACGAAAAUCCUGAUUGAAGAACAUAAUUGACCUCAACUUCAAAUUAGAAAGAUCAAGUAAGUGAUACAUUUCUCCUUGACCAUGAAAGGCAAGUCUGAUACAUGAAGAGGAUUUGGAGUGCUUUCUUGGAUGAUAAAUGUCAAAGAGGUUUGUGUCGGAUGCCUUUUGUAUGGCAAGAUCACGGAGUAAAUCAUGAACCCUACAUUCAGUAACUUUUUCCCAAAACGUAUUAGCCACUUGAACCAAGCUUCGUCUUAUCAGCUCAUUCAAGAAGCCUUCAGCCACAUCCUCCAUUCUUUCUUCUCCAUUUGGUAUGAAACCCUCGGCCAUCCACAACAGUAUUAUCUUUUCAGCAUCGACCUCUUGAUCUUCUGGAAAAAUACCAAAGUACAGAAAACACUGCUUGAGCACAGUUGACAAAAUCAUUGUAGCUUAAGGAUAGAAUGCAGGAGAUUUCAAUAAAUUUAUCUUCAAUAAUGUUCUUCCAAAGUUGAUCUUUCACUUCUUGCCAUUUGUCCACCCCCCCUCUAUGCGAAAGUAGUCCACUCAAUACAACAAUUGCAAGAGGUAAGCCUCUACACUUUUCCACCAUAUCCUUAGCUAGACUUUCCAUUGCUGGAACCAUUGCUCGAACAUCAAGUAGUUUCCUACAAAAGAGAUCCCAACUUUCUUCUUGGCUUAGGAAACGAAGUUCAUGGCCAAAACCUCUGUCGUCUGCUCUUUCAGCGACAUCCACUUUGCGCGUGGUAAUAAUAACUCUGCUGCCAUUCUUGCUAUCCGGGAAUGCUCUUUUCAAACUUUCCCAUGCUUCUCUCUGCCAUACAUCAUCAACCACCACAAGGUAUUUGUGUUCUUUCAAUAGAUCACGAAGGUGAACUUCUAGAUCUCCUUCUGUCAUAGUUUCUAACAAUCCUAGAGUUCCCUUGGUGCGACCUUGGAUGGAUUUUAUGAUAGUCUUAAGAAGAUCCAUUAUGUUGUACUCUUGAGAAACACAUAUCCAAGCGCGUGUAGGGAAGCUUGAGAUUAUAUUAGGACUGGUGUAGAGGUUUCUUGCAAGAGUGGUCUUGCCUAAUCCGCCCAUGCCAUAAAUGGAGAGGACGCUUCGACGAGGCUCUGCUUUGAGAAGUUGAGCUAGCAAUGUUUGUACAACAUCCUGAAGUCCAACAAAAAUGUAAUCCUGGUCAUCCACAUA
rnacentral:lncRNA from 1 species